rnacentral:rRNA from 1 species
CGCAUCUGUGCAUGCAGCAUAUCAAUAAGCGGAGGAAAAGAAACUAACAAGGAUUCCCCUAGUAACGGCGAGUGAAGCGGGAAGAGCUCAAAUUUGAAAUCUUAAAGGGUUUCCCUUUACGAAUUGUAGUUUAAAGAAGUGUUUUCUGUUGAGGUUUUGGUAAAAGUUCUUUGGAAUAGGACAUCAUAGAGGGUGAGAAUCCCGUAUUUGACCUUUACUUUCAACUUUGUGAUACACUUUCAAAGAGUCGGAUUGUUUGGGAAUGCAGUCCAAAAUGGGUGGUAAAUUUCAUCUAAAGCUAAAUAUUGGCGAGAGACCGAUAGCGAACAAGUACCGUGAGGGAAAGAUGAAAAGAACUUUGAAAAGAGAGUUAAACAGUACGUGAAAUUGUCAAAAGGGAAGCGUUUGACACCAGUGUUGCUUUUCUGAAAAUCAAUUAAAGAACUGUUUAUGCUAAGCUGUUUAGACUUUAUCAGCUAAUCUGUUUAGUUUUGAGCUUUUCUUUAAUGCACUUUUCAGUUAACAAGUCAACAUCAAUUUCUUUUGCUGUAAAAAAGCUUGAGGAAGGUGGCUUGAGAUUCGUCUUAAGUGUUUAUAGCCUCUUGCCUAUGCAGUCGGAGAGAUUGAGGUCUGCAGCGUAGAUCCUUCGGGGCUAAAUGCAUUUGUGCUAAGUUAUAGCAUUUUAUAGACAACUUGUUGACUAUGAUUUGUCUUGUAGCUUACUCGCUUAUGUUAUUUUACCUACGCUUAGGAUGUUGAAUCGUAGAGCACGCAG